GGGAACACUACGUGAUGUUGGCUUA
rnacentral:sRNA from 1 species